rnacentral:rRNA from 1 species
CCUACGGGGGGCUGCAGUGGGGAAUAUUGGACAAUGGGGGGAACCCUGAUCCAGCCAUGCCGCGUGUGUGAAGAAGGCCCUCGGGUUGUAAAGCACUUUCAGUGAGGAAGAACGCCUGGUGGUUAAUACCCAUCAGGAAAGACAUCACUCACAGAAGAAGCACCGGCUAACUCCGUGCCAGCAGCCGCGGUAAUACGGAGGGUGCGAGCGUUAAUCGGAAUUACUGGGCGUAAAGCGCGCGUAGGUGGCUUGAUAAGCCGGUUGUGAAAGCCCCGGGCUCAACCUGGGAACGGCAUCCGGAACUGUCAAGCUAGAGUGCAGGAGAGGAAGGUAGAGUUCCCGGUGUAGCGGUGAAAUGCGUAGAGAUCGGGAGGAAUACCAGUGGCGAAGGCGGCCUUCUGGACUGACACUGACACUGAGGUGCGAAAGCGUGGGUAGCAAACAGGAUUAGAUACCCUAGUAGUC